rnacentral:RNase_P_RNA from 1 species
CGGGCUGGCCGGGUGGCCGCCGCGGUCCGCCUCUGGCGGAUCGGGGAGGAAAGUCCGGGCUCCACCGGACAGGGUGCUGGGUAACGCCCAGGCGUCGGCUCGUCUUUGGCGGGUCGGUGACGGAAAGUGGCACAGAAACAUACCGCCGCAGUUUGUUCAGACGGAGUUCGUUCAAACGGAUUCGCUUCGGCGGACGGCGGCAAGGGUGAAAUCGGGCGGUAAGAGCGUCCGGCCGAGUGCGGCGACGCACCGGCGGCCAAACCCCACCUGGAGCAAGGCCAAAUAGAGGGACUAUGGGUGUCCGGCCCGUCCCCGGGUUGGCCGCUUGACCCCAUCGGCAACGCUGGGGCUAGAUAGAUGGUCACCGUCCGGCCUCCGUCUCACGGCGGAGAACGGAUACAGAACCCGGCUUACAGGCCGCCCGGCUU